ensembl:lncRNA
CUUAUAAGCGCUGCGGAACGUCGCGCUUCCCCGCUGUUUUCUCUCUGAAAGCACUUUUUAAAAAUUAGUUACAUAUAUAUGUAUAUUUUCAGUGUGCUUCUUUAAAGGCGGCGUUACUGUGCGGCAGCGACGCGUGUGAGAGGCUGCCGGUACGGACUGCCUGCCGGGAUCUCCAUCAGCAGCAGCCCAGGCCUCGGAGACAGCAGUGCAACCAUGUGUGGGAGUGGAAGGAUCUCGGAUCUGUGUGACUGCAAAAAGGGGACGCAACCUUCAAGUUACAAGGAAAUGCAUUAGCACAGUUGUUGAUCUCAGAUUCUGGGCUUUGGGUUGCUGUGGGUAUUUGCAGGACGGGCCGCAGUUGCAGAAGAGUUUCUUGCCUGAAAACAGAAUAACCAAUUGCCAUUGCUGUCUUUACUGCCAGUGUCUGAAAUGCGGAUCUUGAGAUGAGUGGGGAGAUGGUGCUGCAGGGGACUCCUUUAUUGGAAGUGCAACUGAGAAUAUCAGACCCAGUUGAGAGCAGUGAUGCAGAGCAGUGUGAAGAGCACAGAAUAAUGUAUCGAAUAGCAACAACAUUAAAAAAAAAAAUGUUGGUUGCAAAAUUGCUAAUGACCGAUCAUGUUCGUGUGUGUUAUGGUAAUAAUGACACAGUCAUCAUGCAAAGCUAUCGUGACCCAUACUGUGUAUCUAUCUGAGGCCUGCACUAACUUUUCUGACAGCCUCAGUGCUUUCCUUCAUAACGCCUUACAGUGCAGUCCAGGUGAAACCCACGAGGUAGAAAUCAUAAAAUGCUCUGGCAUACGUACCAAAUUCCCAGACCGCUCUGGAUUCUGCAGCUCUGCAGAACAGGAGCUGUGCUCUGUUCCUCAGUUCUGGAAGUUUUAAUCGCUGCAAUGUACUGAUGACAGAGCAUUGCCCUUAGUUCAGCAGUGAUACAUCAUGCUGCAUUUAAAUUGAAUUUUACGCAUGAAAUCCUUUUGCAAGCAUCUCUCUGUGUCCCAUGGCCAUCGAGCAUCUUGCACCCAGACGAGUGAUGUGGGUAUUUCUUUUUUAUCAUAUCUUAAUUAUGAAAAUAACUGACAUUAUUGAAAUGAGUCUUCCAGUGACAAAGCUGAACUUGGUAUAAGUUCAUAGAAUGCCCUGUACUACAGGGCAUUCCCUAUAGGAAGUCCUGCAACCAGAAGAACCAGGGCUUCCUAUCAUCACCUUACAUUCCAGCAGUUCUGCUCUCUACUGCACUGGGCUCUGCGUACAUCAUCUAACUGUCAGAGGAAACCAGUUCUCACUGGGGAAAGGAAAGUGUUCAGAGAAAGGCAGCUGCUUUUUUAAAUUUUUUUUUCUUUUUCCUCAGUUUAUUAUUUCCCAUCUGGUACCAAUACCUCACAGAGUGUCCUGGAAGAAUGAAAUUCUGACAGGGGAAUGGAGCAACAUCACUUGGUUUGUAGUUUCAUUCACAGUCGUAUUUCCAAAUGCAAGCAAUCGUCUGUUCCUGCUUACACCUAAUCACUGGUAAAAUCUGUUUGUAUAGAAUCAUAGAAUGGCUUGGGCUGGGAAGGACCUCAAGGAUCGUGAAGCUCCAACCCCCCUGCCACAGCUGUGCUUUCUUUUUUUUUUUUUAAUUGCUUGUGCAUUCCCACCUGAAAACUUCACAUCAAAGACGGAUGGCGGAAUCAGUUGCUGCCUGCUUAUUCCUUUCACCUGCUUUCCGGUGCAGAAUACGUUGAGAUUUUCAGAAGUCCUCCACCAAAUACUCUUUGAGAAGCUGGUCCACGGGAGAGCUUUGGCCGUGAUGACCUUGCAGUUUGGAGCACCUCCUGACUUUUCACCAGGUCAGUAGGAUUCAGAACGUGACGCUCCAGCAGUGUUGUGUCUGCAUGCCUGGCGUUUGUUCCUCUGAAGCAGAACUUUUCUUUUCUUCAGAAAAAGUGC